GCCCGCCGGGACGCCCCUGCUCGCGGCGCCCCUCCCCGGGCCCUGGCGCGUCCCCGGAGUCUCGCAGUAUUUCCUUCCUGCACCUUUAAGAAGACCGUUGCUCCGUGGUGGGAUGGUGUGUUAAAGCCACACAGAGGAAGUUACGCAGCCCGGAUCAGACCGAGAGAUAAAAGCCCCGAUGGUGACCGUGAGUGAUGGCAAGAGGAUUUAGCCUCGGCAUUAACUUGGAGCGGAGUGCAGGGGGGCCGUGAAGCGCCCCGCCAUCUGGCCCGCGACGCGCCGGGGGGAUGCCCCGGCGCCCCGACGAGCAGCCGCGAAGCCCACCCGGGCCGGGGGCUGCCCGGCGCCCGAGCGCGGGUCCUCUCCGAGCCGCCCGGGGGGCCCGAAAAGUUUGCACUUGUUAGCGGCGACCUCCCGCUCGGCCCGGGCGGGCGAUGCGGGCGGCGCGGGCGGCCCCCUCCCCCGGCCCGCGUCUCCGGGACGGCUGCGGGCGGGCCCCCCGGCGGCCGGAGGGCUCCCCAGCUCCGAUCUGACGGUCGCGGCGGCGGCGGCGGCCACAGCGGCAGCGGGAGCGGGAGCGGCGCGGGGAAGGAGCUCCGGCUCGCAGCCCUCCGGCCCUCGCCCCCACCCAGCGCCAGCCAGACGGGGGAGGCAGAGCGCCAGAGGGUGGCGGUCCUCGGCCUCCCGGGUCUCCGCUCCGGGAAGCUGCUCCGAGCCGGGGUUGUAAAAAUAGUCUCCAGGCGGGUUCUUUCUGAGAGUUUUCUAGCAAGGAGCACAUUCAGGGCCGGGCAGACACUCUCACGCCGCUUCUCUUGAAACAGGCAGAGGUGAGACCGGAACGUCUGUCCCCUUGGCUCCUCUCAUCCAUCUCCAUCAAGAGCCCUUCAGCCAGAGAGAGGGGCAGGGGCCGCCUUAAUGCAGAUUUAUGAUUCCCCCAGCCUGGAGCCAGGGGCACAGGCUGGGGGCUUCUGGGGAGGUGCUGAGCGGCCGGGCCCCCUUGGGGCAAUGUCCACCCCUCCCGGUUUGUCAUCUUUGGCAGGAGUGUGUUUGUCUAUCUGGAUGGAGAAUGGAGUUUCGUGGCUGUGUAGUUAACUCUUCAGGACGCUCUAGGUUCAAGGUCUGCAGACGAUGGCAGGUGAGAGUCAGGUGAAAGCACCAAGGCUGCAGCAGUUUGGGAAUUUAGAUGCAAUAAUUGUCGACACAAUAACCAGAAUUAAUAACUCCGGCGCUUCUCCUGCGACUCAUUGUGGUAACCUUUGCCCUACUGGCUAGCAUUUUUGGCCAGGAUCCCACACUGGCUGGACUCAAAUUCUCCUGGUAAUUUAUCAAGUGCCUGGGAACACAUUGCCUUGCUGGAGUCAUGUUUUUCGCAAUACAGCAUUCAUCUUAGUUAUAUCUAUUUGGGCUUUUAAAUAAGUAUUGGUAGCUUAAAAUAGUAAAGCCGUAAUCAUGACGGUGAUCUGUUUCCAAACACACCCUCUAAGGAUGGCUGCAAAAUCUUGGCUUGAUCAGAAAAUCUAAGAGGACAAAUCAUUGUCUUCAAUGUCCCGAGUUUCUUACAGUUAAAAAUUAAACUCACCAUUUCAGGGUUUUGGAGAGAUAUUGUUGGCACCUGGUUGGUAACUGGUGGCCAGCGCAUGGACCGCUUUUUUACCCGUACCUGUCCACACAAUCUCAUCGACACCUCUCGUUUGGAUUUUCAUCUCUGUCCUCAACAGUUUCGACGUUUUGACUUGUCGGGCGUGCUAUUUUAAAGCAACCAUUCCAUCUCGGCUCCUGGGGCUGUUCAAGAAAGUCACUGACCCCAAGCAGGGGCACUUCUGCCGACCCCGACACCCCCAUAAAUAAGGAGAGAGCGCAUCACCUUUUAAAUAACGUGCCUGAUCUCCAAAUGCGCCAACUCCGAUAUCAAUAAAAAUAACCCAGUUUCCUCCGAAGGCCUUGCU
rnacentral:lncRNA from 1 species